AGCGAACGCUGGCGGCAGGCCUAACACAUGCAAGUCGAACGGAUCCUUCGGGAUUAGUGGCGGACGGGUGAGUAACACGUGGGAACGGGGCCUUUGGUUCGGAACAACUCAGGGAAACUCGAGCUAAUACCGGAUGUGCCCCUCGGGGGAAAGAUUUAGCGCCAUUGGAGCGGCCCGCGUCUGAUUAGCUAGUUGGUGGGGUAAAGGCCCACCAAGGCGACGAUCAGUAGCUGGUCUGAGAGGAUGAUCAGACACAUUGGGACUGAGACACGGCCCAAACUCCUACGGGAGUCAGCAGUGGGGAAACUUGCGCAGUCGGCUAAAGCCUGACGCAGCUAUGCCGCGUGAAUGAUGAAGGUCUUAUGAUUGUAAAAUUCUUUCACCGGGGACGUUAAUGACGUUACCCGGAGAAGAAGCCCCGGCUAACUUCGUGCCAGCGGCCGCCGUAA
rnacentral:rRNA from 1 species